GAAUGCUUCGUAGUAUAAGAAGUUUUUAGUAUACUUACACUUACAUAAUCACUUACAAGUUCUUCCUUGUUCACCUGGAAUUCAAAUUAACUAACCUGGGGAGAGAAGGAGGCAGGGAGAAGUCGCAGCUUAACAGGUGAGAGAAACAAGGAUCGCACAAGUCCCUGGAAACGCAGAGACAGGAGGAGCCAGACGAGCAGGUGCCAAGUCCCCAGGUGUGGCGAGUGGAGCCUCGGGAGGAGGCACUGGGCAGCUGGACUGUGCUGUACCCUCCGCUUCCCCACACACAGGCACUGAGCAGAGGCCACGCCGCUCACUUCUGGGGGGACCCAAGGCACUUACAUAAGUAAAGCAGCUCUUUCAGCUCUUCUGCAGACUCAGGUGAUCUUAACCUGCCUCGUCAUCCAUAUUGGCGUCAUGAUCUAACCAAAAUCAGCUCACGGCCGAGCGUGAGUGUCUCGCUUCUGUAAUCCCAGCACUUUGGGAAGCCAAGUCAGGAGCAUCAGCGGAUCACUUGAGGCCAGGAGUUGGAGACCAGCCUAGUCAACAGAGCGAGACCCUGUCUCUAAAAUCUAAUAAAAAUAAUAAAUAAAUAAAUAAAAACAGUUCAUGAGAAAGACUUUUUCCUUCUUCAGGGAGAGUCAGCCAGAUUUGUCUUUUCUGAAACCCCACUGGAAGAAUUAGAUUAGUUCCCUUCCCUGAAAACCUUAAAAAAAUCCCCUUCAUAGAUGUAAGCACUCUCAUCUUCCAUUAAUGGUUUAUCUGU
rnacentral:lncRNA from 10 species